rnacentral:rRNA from 1 species
GAUGAACGCUAGCGGCAGGCCUAAUACAUGCAAGUCGAACGGUAACAGGUGUAGCAAUACAUGCUGACGAGUGGCGCACGGGUGCGUAACACGUAUGCAGUCUACCUUCAACUGGUGAAUAGCCCGAAGAAAUUCGGAUUAAUACACCAUAGUAUCUUGAAACGGCAUCGUUUCGGGAUUAAAACUCCGGUGGUUGAAGAUGAGCAUGCGAGACAUUAGCUAGUUGGUGAGGUAACGGCUCACCAAGGCUACGAUGUCUAGGGGAUCUGAGAGGACUACCCCCCACACUGGUACUGAGACACGGACCAGACUCCUACGGGAGGCAGCAGUAAGGAAUAUUGGUCAAUGGACGAAAGUCUGAACCAGCCAUGCCGCGUGAAGGAUGAAGGUCCUCUGGAUUGUAAACUUCUUUUAUAGGGGACGAAAAAAGGGAAUUCUUUCUCACUUGACGGUACCCUAGGAAUAAGCACCGGCUAACUCCGUGCCAGCAGCCGCAGUAAUAC